rnacentral:rRNA from 1 species
AUGAACGCUAGCUACAGGCUUAACACAUGCAAGUCGAGGGGCAGCAUGGUCUUAGCUUGCUAAGGCCGAUGGCGACCGGCGCACGGGUGAGUAACACGUAUCCAACCUGCCGUCUACUCUUGGACAGCCUUCUGAAAGGAAGAUUAAUACAAGAUGGCAUCAUGAGUCCGCAUGUUCACAUGAUUAAAGGUAUUCCGGUAGACGAUGGGGAUGCGUUCCAUUAGAUAGUAGGCGGGGUAACGGCCCACCUAGUCUUCGAUGGAUAGGGGUUCUGAGAGGAAGGUCCCCCACAUUGGAACUGAGACACGGUCCAAACUCCUACGGGAGGCAGCAGUGAGGAAUAUUGGUCAAUGGGCGAGAGCCUGAACCAGCCAAGUAGCGUGAAGGAUGACUGCCCUAUGGGUUGUAAACUUCUUUUAUAAAGGAAUAAAGUCGGGUAUGCAUACCCGUUUGCAUGUACUUUAUGAAUAAGGAUCGGCUAACUCCGUGCCAGCAGCCGCGGUAAUACGGAGGAUCCGAGCGUUAUCCGGAUUUAUUGGGUUUAAAGGGAGCGUAGAUGGAUGUUUAAGUCAGUUGUGAAAGUUUGCGGCUCAACCGUAAAAUUGCAGUUGAUACUGGAUAUCUUGAGUGCAGUUGAGGCAGGCGGAAUUCGUGGUGUAGCGGUGAAAUGCUUAGAUAUCACGAAGAACUCCGAUUGCGAAGGCAGCCUGCUAAGCUGCAACUGACAUUGAGGCUCGAAAGUGUGGGUAUCAAACAGGAUUAGAUACCCUGGUAGUCCACACGGUAAACGAUGAAUACUCGCUGUUUGCGAUAUACAGCAAGCGGCCAAGCGAAAGCGUUAAGUAUUCCACCUGGGGAGUACGCCGGCAACGGUGAAACUCAAAGGAAUUGACGGGGGCCCGCACAAGCGGAGGAACAUGUGGUUUAAUUCGAUGAUACGCGAGGAACCUUACCCGGGCUUGAACUGUAGGCGAACGAUUCAGAGAUGAUGAGGCCCUUCGGGGUGCCUAUGGAGAUGCUGCAUGGUUGUCGUCAGCUCGUGCCGUGAGGUGUCGGCUUAAGUGCCAUAACGAGCGCAACCCUUGUUGUCAGUUACUAACAGGUUCCGCUGAGGACUCUGACAAGACUGCCAUCGUAAGAUGUGAGGAAGGUGGGGAUGACGUCAAAUCAGCACGGCCCUUACGUCCGGGGCUACACACGUGUUACAAUGGGGGGUACAGAGGGCCGCUACCACGCGAGUGGAUGCCAAUCCCAAAAACCUCUCUCAGUUCGGACUGGAGUCUGCAACCCGACUCCACGAAGCUGGAUUCGCUAGUAAUCGCGCAUCAGCCACGGCGCGGUGAAUACGUUCCCGGGCCUUGUACACACCGCCCGUCAAGCCAUGGGAGCCGGGGGUACCUGAAGUGCGUAACCGCGAGGAGCGCCCUAGGGUAAAACUGGUGACUGGGGCU